AAGGACCUGAGUUCGAUCCCUGGUACCAAAAACUAAAAUGUUCAACAAAUAUUAGUUGAAUGCAUAAAUGGCCUUCCAUGAAUUUCCUAUGCCUGUACAAACACAUAUAUGUAUAUUGGCUUUUAGUCUUUAACAGUAUCUUUAACAUAUCAGCUGGAUGGCAUGGCACUCCCUCUGAUGGUUGUACUAUCGUUUAAUCAAUGCUGCUAAUAGGCAUUCAUGCAGUUCCUAAUUUUUUGUUGUUAUUAUUAACAGUGUUGCAGGCAAGAUCCUUUAGUAGCAGAUGGAGUAUCUGACUCAGGGCUUGAGUUGUUUUUCCAGGAGCAGAGAAUCAGUGUGAUGUCAGAUGAGCAUGAACUUGGAACCUAAAGGAAAGAAGAGAGGAUGAACAGCAAGUCGGUGGUAAGGAUUGAAUAUUUUUGGAGAAGAUGGGCUAAAACCACUUCAAAGAGUUUUACAUUUGGCAAGAAGGAGACCGAGGAAGUAAGGUAUCACCAGUGGGAGGCAGAGAGGGCAAAGAAGAAGGGGACCUCAGGCUGGGCCCAUGGAGGCAGAGGCACCAGUACCUCCUGCCAUGCAGAAGCCUGGCGGGCCCUGGGAUCCCCAGAUUUCAGAUAUCAGGCAUGGGUUCUGAAGUUGCUGAGUGCUAGGAACACUGCUGUGAUCAUGCAAGGUGGUAGUGGUAGUGAGUUAAUUCAGAGAAAGCAGGUAAAUAGGAUGAUAGGGACCUUAAAUGCCAGGUGGAGGCAAAUUUCAGUAUGCCGGCCCAAGAGGGAAGAAAAUAGCAUCUGACUGCUCCCUUUGAUAGAAGUGGAAAUUGGCCGCUUAUCCUAUAUCUGCGAGCCCAAUGCCAUUUCCAGUGACUUGGCAGUGGGUCUUGCCCUGACGUUACAUGGCUUCCAGAAACCAAAUGACAUAAAUUCUGUGACUGUAGCAACUAUGUCUUAAUUCAUCUAGCACACAGUAAGUGCUUGGUGUCUUGAAUUGUAGUGAAACUACAUGUAGAAUUUUUUUUCCCAGUGUUAGAGAUUGAACCCAGGGCCUACACACUGAACUACAUUCUCAUCCCUUUUUUAUCUGAGACAAGGUCUCGCUUAAUCACUAAGUUGCCCAUUCGGGGCUUCAUUUUGCUAUCCUCCUGCCUCAGCCUCCCAGGGUGCUGGAGUUAUAGGCAUGCACCACCACUAUGACUAGCCACAUGUACAAUAUUAAAAGAAUUGAGAGGAAUGUCAGAAAUAACCUAGUUGAGCUGGGUGCAGUGGCACAUGCCUGUAAUCCCAGCUACUAGAGGAACUGAGGCAAGAGGAUCAAAAGUUCAAGGCCAGCCUGGGCAGCUUUGUAAGACUUGUAUCAAAGUGAGAAAAUAAAUAAAUCAAAAGGGCUGAGGGGCUGGAGAUUUAGCUUAGUGGCACCAUGCCUGCCUCACAAGCACAAGGUCCUGAGUUCGAUCCCCAGUAGCAUAAAAAAAGGUGGGGGCUGAGGAUGUAGCUCAAUGGUAGAGCACUUGUCUGGCACAUGCAUAGCCCUGAGUUCAAUCCUCAGCAUUGUAACAAAAUAAAGUCAUCCAGUCGAACCCUCUUAAGUUUGCUUUCUGUGGAAGUAUGGGCCACAUUUGAGGUCUUGUUUAAUUCAGGGUCAACUUCCCCCUCUGCUGACUGCCAAGCCAUCCAGAUCCACGAUUUUUUCCUUCAUCUUUUGGAUUAGUGGUCUGGGGGAACUCAGGACUUCCCAAGACCCUCUCCUUUUCCUCUGGAAAGUGAGAAUAUUUUCAUAAUUGUAUUUUGCGUUUUACUCAUUCACUUACAAGUCUGGUGUUUUCCAGGGUUUAUGGGACACAUGACAUAAUAGACUGCAUGCAGUAGAUGUGAGAAUGCAGACCCUAGACUUACAAAAAUGCCAGGCAAUGCCUCUUAACAUGAUUUUUGUUUUGGAAAAGUUCUAUCUGUUACGGUUAUUUAUGCUUACAGGUACUGG
ensembl:lncRNA